rnacentral:lncRNA from 1 species
AAAGUUCAUCCAUAUUGUAGCACAUACGAGAAGAUGACUUUUUAAAAAGUUUUUAAUUAAAACAUAACAUAAAAAGUGAAAAGUGCAUAACUUGCUCACAACCUGAACACAUCAGGACCCAGGGAGUCAAGAGAUGAUGACUGAUGACUCAGCCUCCUCAGCUCGGCUUCCCAGAGCUCCACUCACCACAUCAGUGAGCCUGGCAUGCAGGGGGAGACAUAAACACAACCAUGGUGUUGAUAUCAAUCCUAGCAGAGAUGUCACAAGCCAAGGUCUGGGAAGAGGAAGAAUGAAUCAGGAUAAAACUUCAGUGGAAAAAAGACCAAGUGAGAGACUUAAAAGUCACGACUAAAGAAUUGUGCUGCUUAUUGCUGUUGAGUUCCCCUCUGCUCCCACAGAAGACAAGGAGAAGGAAUGUCACAGGGGCUUGAGUAUCCCUCUAGGGAAGAGUGGCUGGAACACCUAAUGUGAAAGUUUGGGGAAUCUUUGGCUGCUGAGGUUUGGAGAUUGGGAGAUUGUGUUUUUGUGGUUUUUCUUGUGGAAAUAAGAGCUCAGAGGGAUGAUGAUAUAACAUUGGAGAAAGGAUGUUGGAACCUCACCCACCUGUGUUUGCCUUCCCAUGCAACUGGAGCAGUGGAAGUUAGAAAGUAGGGUAUGAAAAACGACUGGAAGCAGAGAUCCUCUCCCACAGAGGGGUAGAAUUGGAAGACGCACUCAGAAAGCCUUACGGCCAACCUCCUCAGUUUUCAUACAGGCAAACUAAAUAUUACAGAUGGGAAAAUGCUCACUCUGAUGGAAGCCAGCUGCUAUGCUGUGUGUUGCUCUAUGGAGAGACUCAGGUAGAAGGAAUUGAAGGAGGCUUUCGGCCAACAGUCAGCAAGGUACUGAGGCUUUCAGUCCAAGAGCCUAUAAGGAACUGAAUCCUACCAGCAACCAAGCAAGUGGCUUGAAAAUGGACCCUCUCUCAGCUGAGUCUUUGAAUAAGAUCACAGCUCUUAUUCAAUAUGACACCUUGAUUGUAGUCUUGUUAGAGAUCUUGAGCCAGUGGCACCCAGCUAAGCUGUACCUGUAUUCCUGACCCAUAA